rnacentral:lncRNA from 1 species
CACUCUUUUUUAGCUACUUCUUGCCACUCUUGAACCACAGGAGAAAAACACUGGAACUUUGAAGCUAUACCAAGCCUCCCUGCCAACAUUGCCAUCUUUUCCAUACAGUGGCUACCAGGAACGCCACAGAGAAGAUGAGCAACUAGUCCCUCUAAUUUCGAGGAAAAACAAAAAACAAAAGCAUAAAGACAUUGAGAUUUCUUCACUACUCUUGACUGCAGCAACAACUUGGAUUGCAGGAAUAAAAUGGCCUGUGACAUAAAUUCAGGUGGGUAGUGGGAAAUGCAUUCUUAAUGUAUAAAGGCAAAAGAUUAGUGUAUAUAUGAAAGUGGGCAAGUACGAUUUUGAGGAGAAAUAGGAAUUUCUCAUUUAGUUCCAAAGGGAGAACUUUCCAUAAAUAAAUUAGACUUCAGAGAGAACAUACCCAUUGGCAGGCAGAGGCCACCGUGUCAGAGAUAGCAGAAAGGGAGCCAGAGCCCAUCUGUCUCAUAUAAGAGCAGCAGACAUGGCUGUACAAGGAAGAACAAUCUUGCUUCUUGCUCCCACCAGCCUGGGAGCACUUCUCUUGAAAAACUGAACUGUAAUUAAUGGGAUUUGUUUCCCAAGCUCAAAAGAUGUUUUAAUCCAAGUCCAUUACCUAAUCAUUGUCCUCUAGCAGCCUAGUAUGUUCCAGUUGCCAACACACAUGCCUUCAUCUGCCCUAUACACUGAAUUUGAAAUUUGUCAGAAAGAGAGGACAGAGACUAAGAGAAUUAUUUCAGUAGGAAGGAGCAAUUGACCUUGACAAAGAGUUUGUGUUGAGGACUCUGGAAAAGCAAGAUUAGUUUAAGGGCCGCAGGAAGUUAAAAGGUGAAAAGGAGAGUUGAGGAAAUAAGAAAAAGCAGGUACAUUUUUGUGAGACACUUUCACAAAGUUGAGGGAGUAUUCAUGGAUGUCCC